UUGCUUAAGCUGCUAUGCCACAGUACUGGCUCUGGGAAUUGUUUUAUUAAGCAAAACUCUCCUUUUUAAAUUGCUCCCUAAUCUUAAACUCUCAAAUAGGAAACAUUAACAGGAACUGUUUUUAAAUUUGUAUAUUGACUUUACUACAGGUUGACAUACUCUUUACUUUUCCUGGAAGGUUUUAUGAAUACAGAAUCUGUUCAUGCAUUAGAAGGCUGCUUGGAGUAAAGAAGAAAAAGCUCUGAGUGCUGUCCUUAUGAACAAGUUGGUGUAACCCUGUGUGUGCCUGGAGAGUUACAGUUUGUCUAGAGAUUUGAAUACAGUGUUACCUAUAUUAGGUUUACAGAUUUUGUCAAGAAGUAUUAUUCUUGUCCAUACUUUGUGACAGUUAAGUUCCUGGGUUACUAAUGAUAAUCGAACCAAUAAAAUUAAAAUUCAUUUUGUAAAGAAGAGAUCCAAAACCCAGCAUAAACAUAUUUAAAUGAGAAAGAAAAAACUUUUUCAAUAGAAGUUCUUCGUUUCAUUUCACAGUUUCUCCUAACAAAUCUCUUACUGUUUGCACUGAAGACGCUUGCUGAUAAAAUGAAUGACUUUGUAUGUGCACAGUGAAUGGAGAAUCAUCUGACAAAUUGAAGUAAAUUAUUUGAAACAAUAAGCCGUAUCUUAUCUACUCUUGUAGCUCCAGGAACCGACAUGGAACCAGGCAUUUUAUUAACUCUAGAGAAACAGACCAGAGAAACCACCAAAUCAAUAAGCUGAAAUGGGUUCCAUGAAGCACGCUUGAGAUAAUAAAUUACAACAUACUUCACA